AUGAACAGUGAAUCCCAAGAACUGUGUCUUUCCUUUUUCACAGAGGGGAGAGUAAGUGUGGAAAGGAUGCAGGAGAGAGUGGGUACAAUCCAGCAGCUAAAGGAAGCCCUGAGAGAGGAGGAGAAACAGGAGAACAGUGAGAAAUCUGACCACCCGGAACAGGACUGGUACCAGGCGGAGUACAACAGAGCACAGGAGCGGAGGAGGAAGAUCAAAGAGGAUCAUGGGAGAGUGAUACAGGAGGAGGUGGAGAAGAUGGAAAGAGAGCUGGGGCAGGAACAGACUGAGGGCCCCCAGAGGGAGCUGUUGGUCCUGGGCAGAGAGAGACAGGUCCUGAUUCUACAGAUGGAGGCCCUGCACACUGAGGCCUUGGAGGCUGAGAGAGACCUGGAGACACAGUACCACAGACACCAGCAUGAGCUUCACUCUCUUAGGGAGGAGAGUCUGCAGGUGUUCCGGGUUUUCCGCCAGGUGAGUGAGGAGCAGAGGAGGGUGUCAGAGGGCAGGUACAGGACUCUCCUGCUAGAGGCCAUACAGGAUGCAGUCUACCUGUCCUCUCAGAACCAACAGCUACAGGCAGACAACAAACAGCUCCGCAAAGCAUUGGCAGAGCUAAAGGACAUUCUGUGUGUGCAGGGUGACCUCAAGGGACAAAGAGCAUCCCAGUAA
rnacentral:lncRNA from 13 species